CCUACGGGAGGCAGCAGUGGCGGAUAUUGCACAAUGGGGGGAACCCUGAUGCAGCGACGCCGCGUGGGUGAAGGAGUGCUUCGGCAUGUAAAGCUCUAUCGGCAGGGAAGAAGCAAGACGGUACCUGACUAAGAAGCCCCGGCUAACUACGUGCCAGCAGCCGCGGUACUACGUAGGGGGCGAGUGUUAUCCGGUUUCCCUGGGUGUAAAGGGAGCGUAGACGGCCAUGCAAGCCAGGGGUGAAAGCCCGGGGCCCAACCCCGGGACUGCCCUUGGAACUGUGCGGCUAGAGUGCGGGAGGGGCAGGCGGAAUUCCUGGUGUAGCGGUGAAAUGCGUAGAUAUCAGGAGGAACACCGGCGGCGAAGGCGGCCUGCUGGACCGCGACUGACGUUGAGGCUCGAAAGCGUGGGGAGCGAACAGGAUUAGAUACCCCAGUAGUC
rnacentral:rRNA from 1 species